GCCUGGGGUUGGCAAAGUCUGCCUUUUACUGCAAGCCUACCCAACUCAGGCUCCCUCCCCCUUUUGCUAACCAAAAUUCACACCGCUCAGAAUUCCCAAUGGAGUUCUCCAGGCAUGCCCACCUCUACCCCAAAUAUGCAUGAAUAAAUGUACAUACAAGGCAAAAUUCUCACACAGAUAUCUCUAUACAGUGGUACCUCUGUUUAAGAACAGUCCUGUUUACAAAUGAUUCAGUUUACAAACUCCACAAAACCGGAAGUAGUGUCCCAGUUUGAGAACUUUACCUCGGUCUAAGAACAGAAUCCGAAUGGUGGAAAGGAGGCCUCGUUAGGGAAAGCGUGCCUCAGUUUAAGAAUGGUUUCGGUUUAAGAACGGUUUCGGUUUAAGAAUGGACUUCCGGAAUGGAUUAAGUUAGUAAACCGAGGUACCACUAUAUUAGGGUAAAUGCUUACUAAAAUGCUAAUGAAUUUCCAUGAGGGAUUUUUUUAAAAAAAAUAACAAGAUGGAGAUUGUAACUAUGAGGGACUAAGAGAUAUUGAAAUUGGCAGGCUCACCAUCCCUUAUUUACAUAGCUAAUUGUCAUUGGUGGGUGGGUGGGAUCUACCCAACUAAAAUCGUUAUUUUAAACUCCAAAAUGGAACAUCAGUUGCAGCCUUAGCUGAGGAAGGGAGAGGGAGAGCCAAAUCAUUCAUAACCACCCACAUAAUUGCAUUACUUAUUGAUAUUUAUGUAUACAACAGUUUUCUCAAAAAGGCCAGCUAGAACAAAUAGCAGAGACAAAUGGUCCCCAUUUCCAGCCUCAAGAUUAAUUCUAGCUGAAAAUCUAGGCCGGCUCUAGUCAGAACUGUCUCCGAGUCUGUCAGCAAAUCAGAUGACUUACCUACCUGUCCCACUGAGAGGCAAGAAAAGGACCGCGGUGGUUGGAAUGCAGAAUGAGUCUUGGAGCCAGCUGCUGAAUGAAAGGUGAGCAGAGUUCAUCUCCAGAUCUUAGGAGCAUCAAUGUUCUUUUGAAAGAAGAAAAGCAUUUGGAGGGACAUUGACAAGGAAUCCAGAGGGCAAAGCUUUUCAGAUGGAACUUGAACAUAUUUGCAACUGUGGUGAAUGGUUUCAAGACAGAAGUUUAGUUAUCAUUCUAGAGGGGAGCAAAAUAAUGUGUGUAUUAAGAUAAGCACAGGGAGGAAUGCCACUGAUAGGUUCGGAAGUGGAACUACAAUAAUAAGUUCUCUUUUCAUUUAUGUGUCCCUUAUUUAAUUUUGGAAACCGUAGCUUAAUACAGAAGUUCUACCUUAUCAGCCCAUUUUAAUACUUUGCCUUCAAAGAUAUCAGUUGCUGGAAUUCCUUGUAAAGAUAGGAACAUUUCUCUGCCUGUCUUUCUCUCCCAUUUCUUUAUAUGAACAAAGAAUCUCUGAAAAAUGAGAAAAAUAUUUGAUACAAUUUUUGUUCUCUGACUUCCCUAUUUAUGUUAUUGUUAUUUUUUUGUAUUUCACUGUUGUUAUUAUUAAUGUUAUAAUGGGGAUGGGCUGGGAAAGUAUACACUGUCUGUGUAACCCCUCAGAGGUACAUAUUAUCUUGUGUAUGUGUUUCUAAUCGGGGGGUUUGAUAACACAAGACAUUUAUGACACAGAUUCCUGGUUGAUCUCUAGAGACCAGCUGAGUAUCUUCCUUGAGAAGACAGCUAAUUUAUUACCAAGCAGGUGGCAAGAGUAUCUGCCAUUUCUCUCAGAUCUGCUGCUAUUGUUCAUGCUUAGCUUGUAUUUUUUUAAAAUACCGUAUUUUUUGCUCUAUAAGAUGCACCUUUUCCCCUUCAGAAAUUAAGGGGAAAUGUGUGUGCGUCUUAUGGAGCGAAUGCUGGCUCCUUUGCUUCAGCGAUAGCAACGCAAAGCCUCCUAAGUGCAGAGGGAGAGCUCCCCCCGCACUCCGGAGGCUUCGCAUUGCUUUCGCUGAAGCUGCCUGAAGCCCCCGAAGCACAGCGGGAACUCCCGCUGCGCUCCAGAGGCUUCAGGCAGCUAUCCGCAAGCCUUCAGAGUGCAGCAGGAGUUCCCCCUGUGAUCCGAAGGCUUGCGGAUAGCCACCUGAAGCCUGGAGACCUGAAGCCUGGAGAGCACACCAAUCCCUCUGGCUCUCCAGGCUUCGCUUCGCUGGAGAGGCGCUGCACAGUUUUCCCUCUCUGCACAGCGCCCCUUCAGUGAAGCGGGAGGAGAAAUGGAAGGGGCUCCGUUUCUCCUGCCGCUUCGCUGAAGGGGUGCUGAGCAGAAAGGGGGAGAAUUUUUUCCCCCUGUUCUCCCCCUCCUAUGGUCCGGUGUGUCCUAUGGUCCGGUGCGUCCUAUAGAGCGAAAAAUACGGUAACUGAUUUUAUUGAGGCCACAAUGUUGAGUUUAAUAAGUUGCAUUUUCCCUCCUUAUUGGUUCAGUUGACUGCAAUAAACACCCGACACCAGACAGCCUCACUUCCUGCGACCUUGGAAAUGUGCUAGCAGAGUAAACAACACUGGGGUCGAAUGAGCUCAUGAUCUGACUCCAUAAAAGAGAGAUGCGCGGACUCCAAGAACUUGUCUGACACCUCCCCUUUCCCCACCUUCAAGGCCCUUAAUGUAGGUCUGUUUAUUCACUUAACGGAUGUGUGAGCACCGUCUGAAAUAUUCAAUAUGACAUGAAUAAUGAAUGCGGCAGGGCAUGGCACGGCACAUGAUGUAGACUGAGUUCAGGGUUGUAGCACAGUGCUCUGGAUUUUCCCCUACACACACACACACACACACACACACACACACACAGCUGCCUCCCCACCCCACAUGCUUCCUCAAUGGCUCCCUGAAAGAACCCAGAAAAGUGCAGUGUCUUCCCAAUGUUCAGUCACCAUAGCAACCCUUCUGUUGACGUCUGACAUCUUGGCCUGGCUUGAAAUUCAUUUGGCAGCCGAAAGUGAGCCAUGGGUGUGUGUGGGCUUCCUCAUCCUAGCGGUGGGCUCCCCGAUCCCCCCUGCACCACCCUACGAUCUCAAGUAAUUCCUUUCAAAGCCCUCUGUGGCAAAGGCCCCCCGGAAGAGAUUCUGCACAUUUAAUCCCGGCCGUUAUCAUUAGCG